CCGAGAAUAUUCCACAAUGGACGAAAGUCUGAUGGAGCGACGUCGCGUGAUCGAUGAAGUCCUUCGGGAUGUAAAGGUCUUUUAUGAAGGAGAAAUUUUAUUGAUAGUACUUCAUGAAUAAGGGGUUGCUAAACUCGUGCCAGCAGCAGCGGUAAUACGAGUACCCCAAGUGUUAUCCGGAAUUAUUGGGCGUAAAGGGUGCGUAGGCGGUCAUGUUAGUCUUCUGUUAAAUUUCCCGGCUCAACCGGGAACUCGCGGAGGAAACGGCAUGACUCGAGGAUGUGAGAGGUGUGUGGAACUCAUGGUGUAGGGGUGAAAUCCGUUGAUAUCAUGGGGAACACCAAAUGCGAAGGCAGCACACUGGCAUAUUCCUGACGCUGAGGCACGAAAGCGUGGGGAUCGAACGGG
rnacentral:rRNA from 1 species